rnacentral:lncRNA from 1 species
AUGUCCAACGAAACACUUCUGCCUGGCUUGACACCCCCACACACCCAUUACCCUGCCUCUGACAGCUCAGUGGGGCGCCGCUCGCCAGCUCUGCGAUCGGGGAAGGUGACGAAGCUGGCCCAGCGGAUACGGAGCGCGAGCCCUUGCAGCUCAUGCCUUCCUCGGUCACGGCACGGCUCCUCGGGCUCCUCACCAUGGGAAUUUCUAUCUCAUCGCCAUCUUGUGGCUUUCGCCAAAAACACCGGUGUUGCAGAACUCCCUCCUCAGCUGGGAAGGCUUUAUUGCAUGAGGGCACCUGUUAAAACGCAGUAUCUACUAGACAUGAGUCUUCAAUCUUCAAUGACAUCCACACCCUCCAAAAGCCUCUGCCUGGAGCCCGGCCGGCAGGAUAGCGUGGAAGACCCUGUGGUCAGAUAA